AAAAAAAAAAAAAAAUUUUUUUUAAUAGCCCUUUUCAUGUGCCUGUGUUGGCCUGAGAUUGUUCCCUUCUGGUGAAUUCGCUUCUGUUAAUUUCAGUUUCCAGAAGUGCUGCUGGCAGGUGUCUUCUCAACAAAACCUGGAACAGCUUCACCUUCAGAGAGAGGUUGCGGGGCCCCAUGCUGGCUUCCCAGUCAGUGCGCCAACCCAGGAGUUUUUUUUUUUUAAUAUAAAAUAAACAUUUAAAUGAGCAUAUGAUAAAGCUCAUUUAAUUAAUGCAACUGACUACGUAAACUGAGAUAGCCGGAUGCAUAAGAACAGCAAGUGAGCGCUUACAGACGACCGGAGACCCACGCUCAAACCCCGCGAUGUGACAGCUGUGACCUCCUGCAGCCCGUGAGCACCGCACGUAAUUCCAGUCUCUGAGAUUAGCGCCAGAAGAUGAACUAGACCUUGCAGAAGCGCUGAGCCUCGGCAGACUUCCCGGCGUUCAGAGUGAGAAGGGACAAGUGGGAGAGAGGAGCUGUCUCACCAGCUUUCCCCACUGUCCCUGUGGCCAUGCUCUGAACACACAGGCUCGGAGACGAGAGGAGACAGGCGAGCCCCCCACCCCGUCAGUCCAGCUCCCGGGGUGCAGGGUCUACCCCAGUGCUGGGGCUCGGGUGAAGCCUUUGUUAAAAGCGCUAGAGGGCGAGGCGUGAGGGGUGCUCAGACCCCUGCAGGCUCCGCCCUACCGAGAACACCCCAGGUGAGUUUCCCACUCCAGUCUGGACCCGAGGGCCAUUUCCUGUGGGAUAGUGAUGUCCUAGAUUGCGGUCAUUAAAACAGAAGGGCCGGGAGGAGGGGGCCGGUGGUGAAAUACUCCCUGUUUGCUCAAGCCACCAGAGCAGAAGCCAUCUCUUGCCCUCCGGACUGGGGCCAAAGGGCCAAUGUGUGCAGCAGACACAGCAGUUCAUAAAAUCCAUCUCUGGGUUCGCUUUUGUUUUUGGAAAACAGGUCGGUGCCACCUUGACUGAGGGAGAAAAACUUCUUCUUUGACAAGAGCAUGGUUUCAGCCAGGGCUAAAAGGUGGGCUAGUCUCAGGCCGUCAUGACUGGGCUGUAAGUGCUGCUGCGAGGCCUGACCACUUUGGUUGCUCAGUCGGUCACUCAUCCUGGGUCUCACAGACGCCCCACAGCAAAGGUGCCGUGUUCCCUGGCACUGUGGGGCAGACAGGCAGCAGCAGCUAAAAUACGGUAAGUAGAAGAGGAUUUUAUGGACCGACAUCCUCUAAUGAGGAUCUGACUUUCCAUAAGUCAUGCUCAUCUGGAUUUCAUUAUAAACGGUGGCCCGGAGCCAAUAUCGAAAUGGGUUUGGCCUGCGUGCAGAAUGACUACAAAACAAAAUGGAUUCCAAACAUCUGGAAAAAUGAGAAGGGGGAGUCACUUGCACGGCGCUGGCCCCAGCUGACGUGCGGGCACCUCUGCGUCUGCUGGGGAAGCCGGGGGCUGGGCAGGCGCGGCACACGCCCUGGCCCUCACGCCCUCCUGUCUAGGUGUGGAAAGAAAAGGCAGAGGAUUCUCUAAACCCCAACCAGAAUGAUCUAACAGACAAGAUUCAACAGAGCAGAUCAGGUGCCUUGUUUAAAGCAGUAUCUGAAAUUCUGGGGGGAAAAAUCAUUUCUUUUCUGAACGAGUAAACUUUGUUCCUUUCUGACUCCCCACAUCUUCUCCUACCUACUUCUCAAUUUUAAUAGCCUAGAUUCUCAGGGUUCCUCAAGUCAAAGACGGAGCCCCAGAGGAGGGACGGACAACGGGGUGACAACUCCCUGGAAGGGGUGGUCCUAACACCCUCUGCCCAAAGUGAAGUGAGGAAGAAGCCAUGAAGCACGGCUCUGGGCUCCCCCUUCCCACCAACGGUGUGACUUCAGGGAUGGCCUAACCCGUGUCUGAGGAGCUGCUGCUCUGCCGUCGGAGUCGCCGGCAGCCGGGCCCCAGCGAGGCGUGCCCCGCCCUGACCUGUACUCGGCUCCCCAGCCUUUGACGAAGCUCAUGCGGAUGGUGCACAUGCGUGUCAGCUGGUAGACGGCCUCGAAGCCCUGGUUGACGGACUGAGCCAGGAGGGCGGCAAACUCCUGGUUGUUGAAGAUCUUCAGGUUGCAUCCUGCCAAGAGAGCAAGACAGUGUUCAUGGGGACGGAGUGCCUAUGUGUUCCGCGCCCCCACGCCUGGGAAAAGCCACCCCCCGGGUCCUCCCGAACAGCGCAGCUCACACAGUCAUCCCAUGGGCCAGCCACGCACUCCACCCUGUGCUCGGGACAGGCCCGCUCAAUCCCUGCCCUCAUCGUCGUCCCCACCUCAGCAGGGAGGUGCAGCUGACACGCAGGGGUGGGUGACACACUGGCCUGCAGGCCCAGAGCCUUGGGACGCUGAGCAAAACUGUGAGACAGGCUACCAGAAACAACAGAGAUGGUCUAGAGAGGUGGGCCUUGCCCUGGACACAAGGAACCCAAGCCAGAAGGCCCCUGGCUGCGUGGGGCGCGGCUGAGCAGCCCGGGACUGGGAGGCCCUGAUCGGAGACAGAGCGAGGGACAGUAGUGUAGGCUGGCUGAACGGGUGCUCACAGAGGGUCCCGGGUCCCCCCAGUCUUCCCUGGUGAGUCUCCCUGCGGCCGGGAAGGAAGGAGAUCUGGGCCACAUCUUGGCCUUUGGGCGCCUGGCUGGGUCAGAGUGACAUUCGCAGCAAAGUAAAGAAGUGGGUCUAACCCACCAGGCCGUAAAACCAGAGACGGACACAUAUGAAGUUUAUAACAAAUCUCCUGAGGUCCUACCAUCUGAGUGCCAGGGAUGUGUCAAUCAGAAAAAUAAAGACAACAGCAACAUGCUGGAAAAUCCCCGAAA